GCUGAGGUGGCCGAGUCCGGACCAAGGCGGUAGCCUCGAGAGCUACUGGGCCAAUGGCCCUCGCAGGUUCAAAUCCUGCCCUCAGCG
rnacentral:tRNA from 1 species